GGUAUAGUUCAGUUGGUUAGAGCGUCAGAUUGUGGUUCUGAAUGUCGUGGGUUCGAGUCCCUCUACC
rnacentral:tRNA from 1 species